UGUUGGCGUCUUGAUAUAAUC
rnacentral:siRNA from 1 species